GAGGUGGCUCUGAAAUUUGAGCAUCGUAAUAGUAAAGGUUGCAACUGUGGACCACCAUACGAGUGGCAGGUCUAUGGCAAUCUUAAUGGAUGUUAUGGAAUACCAUCGGUACAUUUCAAGGGCCGCCAAGGAGAUUAUUAUAUUAUGGUUAUGGAUAUACUUGGGCCGAGUCUUUGGGAUGUUUGGAAUUCUGUAGGCCAAGCGAUGUUACCAAAUAUGGCAGCUUGCAUCGCUGUGGAG
rnacentral:misc_RNA from 1 species